rnacentral:rRNA from 1 species
AUUGAACGCUGGCGGCAUGCUUUACACAUGCAAGUCGAACGGUAACAGGCCGCAAGGUGCUGACGAGUGGCGAACGGGUGAGUAAUGCAUCGGAACGUGCCCAGUCGUGGGGGAUAACUACUCGAAAGAGUAGCUAAUACCGCAUACGAUCUAUGGAUGAAAGCGGGGGACCGUAAGGCCUCGCGCGAUUGGAGCGGCCGAUGUCAGAUUAGGUAGUUGGUGGGGUAAAGGCUCACCAAGCCAACGAUCUGUAGCUGGUCUGAGAGGACGACCAGCCACACUGGGACUGAGACACGGCCCAGACUCCUACGGGAGGCAGCAGUGGGGAAUUUUGGACAAUGGGCGCAAGCCUGAUCCAGCAAUGCCGCGUGCAGGAAGAAGGCCUUCGGGUUGUAAACUGCUUUUGUACGGAACGAAACGGCUCUGGUUAAUACCCGGGGCUAAUGACGGUUCCGUAAGAAUAAGCACCGGCUAACUACGUG